UACGUAGGGGGGCUAGCGUUGUCCGGAUUUAUUGGGCGUAAAGAGCGUGUAGGCGGCUUUGCAAGUCCGUUGUGAAAACUCGAGCUCAACCUCGAGACGCCGGUGGAAACUGCAAAGCUAGAGUCCGGAAGAGGAGAGUGGAAUUCCUGGUGUAGCGGUGAAAUGCGCAGAUAUCAGGAAGAACACCCGUGGCGAAGGCGGCUCUCUGGGACGGUACUGACGCUGAGACGCGAAAAGCGUGGGGGAGCGAAACAGG
rnacentral:rRNA from 1 species